rnacentral:rRNA from 1 species
AUUCCAGCUCCAAUAGCGUAUAUUUAAGUUGUUGCAGUUAAAAAGCUCGUAGUUGGAUUUCGGUUGAGAGCGGCCGGUCCGCCGUUUGGUGUGCACUGGCUGGUCUCAACUUCCUGCGGAGGACGCGCUCUGGGCUUAACGGUCUGGACGUGGAGUCCGCGUGGUUACUUUGAAAAAAUUAGAGUGUUCAAAGCGGGCUUACGCUUGAAUAUUUCAGCAUGGAAUAACACUAUAGGACUCCUGUCCUAUUUCGUUGGUCUCGGGACGGGAGUAAUGAUUAAGAGGAACAGUUGGGGGCAUUCGUAUUUCAUUGUCAGAGGUGAAAUUCUUGGAUUUAUUGAAGACGAACUACUGCGAAAGCAUACAUCAAGGAUGUUUUCAUUA